AUGCUGAGGUUCUGCCAGCUAUCAAUGUGCUCGAAUUGUUACUAUGUGAAUGUCUCCAUGAAAGAUGACAGGAUAAGUCACCGGGAGGAGAGAUGCAGUGUGUCUGAACUGGAGCCUGCAUCAGGCUGGGUAUUAAAUAGGGAAAACGAGCCUGAGUACUUUGAACUGAUAUCCAUGGGAGCCAAUUUCAUUUCUAUGACCACCGGGAGAGAGAAAAUGUGUUAACUGUGUUGAAUACAUCCCUUUAUCCUCUCUUAUCACCUUGUUGAACGAGGUCAGUACUGUUAAGCUACUCCUUUGAUAAUAAUGUGAGGACAAUUUCAAGAGUUGGUUUGGGGGGUGUUAGGAUUGACUGUGGAUUUUUGCUGGGGGAUUCUUUGAAGGAUGUACAGAUGGGCAAUAGUUUGAUGCUACAGCCAAUGACAAGACUGGCAAAAAUACCCUUGAUCUCAGGAGCAAUAGCAUUCCACUCAGCAGACCAGAAGUUGCUUGCAGUUAUUUAACACUUAUUUGUUUCCACUUGCUUGAUUUGUUCUCAUUGCCGCUAACAGAUAUGAAGCUCUAUUUGUUCCUUUAUGCUACAAUGUAGGAAAUAAUCUGGAAAAGCUAGCAGAUUUUACACUACUGUGCUAAUUCAUUUCAUGCUGUUAUCAUGAGCAACAACAAUGGCAAAACCCUUACAGGAAUAUUUGAAAAAGAAAUGAACCCAAAUAAAGGUUCAGAGAUAAUAUUUUAAAGGGAGCUU
rnacentral:lncRNA from 1 species